rnacentral:rRNA from 1 species
CCAAGGCUAAAUACUCCUGAUUGACCGAUAGUGAACCAGUACCGUGAGGGAAAGGCGAAAAGAACCCCUGUGAGGGGAGUGAAAUAGAACCUGAAACCGUGUACGUACAAGCAGUAGGAGCAGGCUUUGUCCUGUGACUGCGUACCUUUUGUAUAAUGGGUCAGCGACUUAUAUUCAGUGGCAAGGUUAACCACAUAGGGGAGCCGUAGGGAAACCGAGUCUUAACUGGGCGUUCAGUCUCUGGAUAUAGACCCGAAACCGGGUGAUCUAGCCAUGGGCAGGUUGAAGGUUGAGUAACAUCAACUGGAGGACCGAACCGACUAAUGUUGAAAAAUUAGCGGAUGACUUGUGGCUAGGGGUGAAAGGCCAAUCAAACUCGGAGAUAGCUGGUUCUCCCCGAAAGCUAUUUAGGUAGCGCCUCGGACGAAUACUACUGGGGGUAGAGCACUGUUAAGGCUAGGGGGUCAUCCCGACUUACCAACCCUUUGCAAACUCCGAAUACCAGUAAGUACUAUCCGGGAGACACACGGCGGGUGCUAACGUCCGUCGUGAAGAGGGAAACAACCCAGACCGCCAGCUAAGGUCCCAAAGUAUUGCUAAGUGGGAAACGAUGUGGGAAGGCUUAGACAGCUAGGAUGUUGGCUUAGAAGCAGCCAUCAUUUAAAGAAAGCGUAAUAGCUCACUAGUCGAGUCGGCCUGCGCGGAAGAUGUAACGGGGCUAAGCAAUACACCGAAGCUGCGGCAAUGCGAUUCAUCGUAUUGGGUAGGGGAGCGUUCUGUAAGCCGUUGAAGGUGAAUCGUAAGGUUUGCUGGAGGUAUCAGAAGUGCGAAUGCUGACAUGAGUAACGACAAGGGGGGUGAAAAACCUCCCCGCCGGAAGACCAAGGGUUCCUGUCCAACGUUAAUCGGGGCAGGGUAAGUCGACCCCUAAGGCGAGGCUGAAGAGCGUAGUCGAUGGGAAACGGGUUAAUAUUCCCGUACUUGUUAUGAAUGCGAUGGGGGGACGGAGAAGGCUAGGUGGGCCAGGCGACGGUUGUCCUGGUUCAAGUGCGUAGGCUUGAGGGUUAGGUAAAUCCGGCUCUCUUUAAGGCUGAGACACGACGUCGAGCUGCUACGGCAGUGAAGUCAUUGAUGCCCUGCUUCCAGGAAAAGCCUCUAAGCUUCAGUUCAUAAGAAAUCGUACCCCAAACCGACACAGGUGGUCGGGUAGAGAAUACCAAGGCGCUUGAGAGAACUCGGGUGAAGGAACUAGGCAAAAUGGUACCGUAACUUCGGGAGAAGGUACGCUCUUGACGGUGAAGUCCCUUGCGGAUGGAGCUAUUGAGAGUCGCAGAUACCAGGUGGCUGCAACUGUUUAUUAAAAACACAGCACUGUGCAAAAUCGUAAGAUGACGUAUACGGUGUGACGCCUGCCCGGUGCCGGAAGGUUAAUUGAUGGGGUUAGCGCAAGCGAAGCUCUUGAUCGAAGCCCCGGUAAACGGCGGCCGUAACUAUAACGGUCCUAAGGUAGCGAAAUUCCUUGUCGGGUAAGUUCCGACCUG